rnacentral:lncRNA from 1 species
UGCUGCUUGUUGCUGACGUUUCUGCCCAAACAUCAUGAAAUGUGGAGAAGAAAGAACACUCAGAUGUGCCCUGGAGACUUUCCUUUUAUUUUUAAACAGUUUUUUUUUCCAUUGGGUUUGACCAACUCUAUAUUCGACUUGAACAAAUCCGAAGGAAAGCUUCCAAUUAUGGGGAACAAGUCCUCUGAAGUGGCUAAAUUCCCACACACACAAAAGAAAAGGUGCCUGCAAUCUGUCUGGAAUUCAGACUAUUACCCUUCUGGAUUCACUAAAACUAUACUCUUAAUCUGUACUGGGAAGUUCUAUACUGUUGCUUUAAUCCUUGGUGCUGUUUAUUUCAACCAAGAUACACCUUGAAGACAAUCUGCCUGCAACACUCAUAAUCCCUGAAUGGAUAGCACCCAAUAAAAG